AGAGUGCGCUGAUAGAAGCAGCAGUUACAAGUGAGGAGAAAAUAGUUGAUUAUAAAUUGCUAAACAGGAUAUAAUCCAGGUUAAUUAUCAACUUGUGGACAUGUGGUGGUUUCAGUUGUGUGACUGCACGAGUAGAUGACUUAAUUCAGUGUUUAUAUUAGUGUUUGUUGCUGCAUAUAAGAAAUCUCCGGUGGGGGAGGGGAUUCAGGCCUACUUCAACAGAGAUUGAGCAUAAGUUAAUUUAAAAUACACUUUGAAGACUGUUAUAAUGUAUAAUAAUGCAGUGUAAUACAUGUAUAGGAAGAAAAUGCAGUAAUUGUUGUAUAUUAUACUGUUAAGAGGGGAGAGCAAGAUUGUGAGAUCGCACGUGCCAGUUUCCACGUGAUUGAUAAUCCAAAGUCUCAUAUAACAGCACAUAUAAGCCACUGCCGUUGUUUUACACACCUUUAUUGGUUCUUUAACAUUGGUUGCACUAUUUCAAGUCAAAUUGGGACUUGUGAUCUGGUGUUUUGAUUAGAGAUUAUUACUGUAAAGGACUUAUUUUUAUUAUUUACAUUUCUUCUUAUAUGUUAUUUCACUUUCUGUGCCCAUUGAAGUGAACUGGGUAACAUCAUUUGUUUUGUUUUAUUAUUCUGUUUUAUACAACUUCUCUUGUUUAAUUGGAUCUGAGUCCUGAGAAAAAGCUAUUUUUCCCUGAACCAAACAUUUAAUGCUGGGUCUUCUUUUGGGGCUCAGUCAAGAAUAAAAUAAUCCUUUUUUUAGUAGAUGUCUUGGCAUUAUGUCUUUCCAGAGUAUAUUAGAAGGAUGUCAAGCCGACCACAUCUAAUUUUGGUGUCAAAAGUGGGAUUCUGUUUUGUUUGGGGCUGAUUUCUUUUUGUUACAAUAGCGCAAAAGUAGAAGGGUGUAAAUAACGGUAGUGUCGAAGGGUGACUGAGUGCUGGAAGGACCUGCAGUGACAUCCUGACAGAAGCGGCGGCAGGACAAAGGGCCAGCACACCAAGUCUGCUGUGUGAG